rnacentral:tRNA from 1 species
GCAACUAAGGUGUUACUGGUGGCAUAGUAGAUUUCCAAUCUUCAGGAGUGGGUUCAAGUCCCGCUAGUUGCU